rnacentral:rRNA from 1 species
UAGGGAAUCUUCCACAAUGGACGCAAGUCUGAUGGAGCAACGCCGCGUGAGCGAAGAAGGGUUUCGGCUCGUAAAGCUCUGUUGUUAAAGAAGAACGUGGGUAAGAGUAACUGUUUACCCAGUGACGGUAUUUAACCAGAAAGCCACGGCUAACUACGUGUCAG